ACUCAAUGAUCAUUUCGCCAGCAUUGACAUAACACACACCUGUCGUCGCCUCACCAUGCUCUUCUUCCUUCACUGGAAUGGUUUGAAAGGGAUAUUCAAAACAUUGCCACUUCUACACGCUAUAGAAGGCACAGCCAAUGAAAAUGGGGGCAUUCCAGAGGACAGUGAGACCCUCCCAGACCAAACUGCACCAGAGGCCGCGGCACAGCCAGCCAGUGAGAGCUCCAUAGCCCCAGCCACAGCAGAGCCCACAGGGAGCCCACAGGCAGAGGGCACUGAGGCUGCUGCCUCUGCUGCCUCCGCUGCCUCUGCCCCUGAGUCCUCCAGCCCCGCUCCAGCCUCCAGUGACUCCACAGCCCUGCCGGCAGCAUCUGAGGGUGAUGCCCCAGCAGAGGGCACCUCGAAUGAGGCUGCAGCUGCGUCUGGAUCCCCUGCCGAGGCCUCAGACAGCCCUGCUGAGUCAGCCCCCGAGCCAGCAGAGGGGACAACAGAAGAUGCUGCAUCAUCAGAGACCCCGGCUGAAUCCAACCCUGAAGCCCCAGCUCCCACCGAGGGGAACUAAGGGUGCCCCAGAGGGACACAUACCCACAAAACCCCAUGAUGCUCACCACAUUUCACAGUGUGCAAAAGCAAGACUGUAAAUCCACAGGGAACUUUAUUUAUAAAACCUUUAAAUUGGAGGCAGUUGAGCAAUAGCUUGUAACAGCUCAGGUACCAGCACACAAGGAGUCUGAUUACAGGAAGUUAUAUUUGAACCCCUUUUAUAUAGUCAUUUUAGUUUGAAAGUUAAAGUUGGUUAAAGUCACCUGGAACCAACCGUGCUUUUACAAUGGUCCCUACUGUGAGGGUCACGUCUACAAUAAUUCAGCAAUUGUCUGUUGCCAAGAUAGACAGACCAGUCUCAAAAGCUGGAGUCUAACAGAGUGACUGUGCCUUCAUUUCCUUCUGUUGGUGUGUGAGAAGAAUUUAUACUUUUGUAUAUACCAUAUUUCACCAGCACAAUAAGAUAAGAGAUUAUAUAAAUUACAUAGUAUAUAGCUUAAUGUCUUUGAAAUACAACUACUUUACUGUGAAAGGUUUGACUUUUUUUUUACGUAAAAGUCAAGACUUGGACUUAAUCGCCUUACACCUCUGUGUAUUUCACAAAUACACAGGCUAUAUAUGUAUUGUAUAAUCCACGACCAUUUAAAUGAUUGAAAGCCAAAGAAUUUGCAAAGAUUUAAAUUUUCUUUAUGCAGCCUCGUCCAUUUUACUGUAAUUUCCUGAAUCAGAAAUAAAAGGUCAACUGAAAAUUUGCCUUGUGAACCU
rnacentral:lncRNA from 1 species